AUUAUGACAUGGUUGGCUCCCUGAAUCCUGUCCAUCAUAGCACCAGACUUUCACUGCAUCCUUUCUUGGGAAUCUGAAUGUAAGGGUACAAAAUAAAGCCUUGGGAUAGCAGAAUGACAGAUAAUCCCCUCAAGUACAAUUCUUAUUUCUGCCAGGUUGGACUUUGCAUGUAGAAUCAACCCUAUGAAUAUAUUUUUAAAUCUCUGAAUUUCAGAGCCAAUAUCCCAAGUCAUCUGGAAUCAGAAGCACUCGCCCAAACAGCCAUUGUCAUUCAUAGGAUAGAUGCACAGCAGCUGGCAGAUGUUGGAGGGUGAUAAUAUUUCCUGUUUGUAGAGCUAAGGACAGUAUUUCUGAUACCAUUCCCUUGCAGUCCAGUCCCCUACAGCCAUCCAAUGGAAAAAGUUUGAAAAAUUUAGGUGUACCCUCAUUCAUUAUACCAGAGCCAGUCAUUGUGGAUGGAUGA
rnacentral:lncRNA from 1 species